UGAGUGAUACACCUAAUGGUAAGGGGACUCACUGUAAAUGAGUUGUCGUAAGACAUUAUAGGUUCAAGUCCUAUUCACUCAA
rnacentral:tRNA from 1 species